UACGUAGGGGGCAAGCGUUGUCCGGAUUCAUUGGGCGUAAAGGGCUCGUAGGCGGCUUGGCAAGUCGGGUGUGAAAACCCCAGGCUCAACCUGGGGCCGCCACUCGAUACUGCCAUGGCUAGAGUCCGGUAGGGGACCACGGAAUUCCUGGUGUAGCGGUGAAAUGCGCAGAUAUCAGGAGGAACACCGGUGGCGAAGGCGGUGGUCUGGGCCGGAACUGACGCUGAUGAGCGAAAGCGUGGGGAGCGAACAGG
rnacentral:rRNA from 1 species